CCACUCAGCCGGGGCGGGAGAGGGGCGGCCGGGUGGGCAGGGGGCGAAGGCGCGGGAACGGUUGGGCCUACGCAGCGUCGGCGCCCUCCAUCAUUCCGGAGAGCCCGGCUGCGGCCGGCAGGUUUUCCGCCCACGGAGACCCGAGCUGCCUCGCCGAGAGCGGAGAAGUCGGUGCUGAGCCUCCUGGAAGCGAGAGCCGAGAAGGAGAAAGCGAAGGCCCCUCUCGCGCAGGGCCACAUCCUUACCUCGGUGCUCCUGCGGCACUUCCUAUUUGCAGAGGGUUUAACCACCCCCUCCCCCCCAGCUUCGAUGGUGUCUUUAGAGUUUCUGCGUGAGUCAGUGCUUACUGUUUUCCGUUCUACAGACUAGGCUUCGCGAGGCCUUAUAUUGGAACCUAACGUUUCACCAAAUGCAGAGGCCCUGCGCCCCCAGGGUACUUCCUUUCUUCUUGCCCCAGGCAGCCGUUGGUUUCUAGCCAAGGUCACUCAAGUGGCUGCAGAAUGGUCAUUUGUGCUUUCUUAAGGCAGGCAGUUAUUUUGUCCAUCGCCUGGUGCACACUUUCUUCGUUCAACUGAUGCUUCUCAGCACCAGCAGAAUUCAGUUAGAGUAGAUGGACAGAGUAAUUCCACCAGAAGCUGUCUAAAUGGUCACUUUCAAUUAGGAUUUCUGGAAAAUGCCAAAGAAGACCCCAAUGAGAAAGUAAGCAGUGUUGGAGAAAUACUCCACUUAAGGGUGACUGAACUAGGAUGUAAGUUCCUUAGGAUACAGCUGACUGGGGGUGGGGGUGGGGAGAGAGCAAAUAGAAUUUCUGGCUCAGGAAACCUGAAUGUUGGCUUUUUUUUUUUUAACCCCAAGAUAUUUAUCAUAGCAAACAAUCAUUAUCUUAACGCUGGUGACGGCUCAGUAUAACCAUGCUAAUUACAGUACUUAAUUUUUCUCCUGCCACAGUGACCCUUAAUUAAAAACUAUUUGUAUUAAGAAGUCUAAGUAAAAGAAAGUUAGUGGAUAACUUGCAUUUACUUUUGUCAGUAACUCUGGUCUUCACUCUACAGGGGCUCAGCCGACUUGAGGGUACACUAGAAAUCCUGUAAUGAAGACCACCUGAACCAGAAGGGUGUGCUUAACAACACAUUUUCAACUUCUGAUAGACUUUGCAUCUAGGGUGUUCCCUCAACUAACUGGCAGUACUGGUUACACAUCACAGGGUAUUGUUUCCACUUUCGUUUUACAAGUGAAAGUGACAAGAUAUCUUUGCAGCUGAUUCUGUAGCCUAAUAUUUCCAUUAUGGAGUCAUCAUCUAUGUAAUUUGGAAGAAUGGGAGUAUCUGAAUUUCUGUGGGAAUAAA